UAUUUUGUUAUAGUAACAAAAAAUAGACUAUUACAUGAAUUACCCAGGCUUAGGCAUUGUGUUAUAGCAGCAUGAUGCAGACAAAGGCAGACUUGCUUAGCAUGGGUGUAGUGAACCUCUGUUGGGUUGGACUGCUUGCUCACCUGUGAGCACAAAUCUUAAGACAAGCCAGUGGGACUUAAUCCUGGAGUUGCUUCACUUGGAGAAUAAAACUGUCCACAGAAGGGAGAGCUUGAUAGCUAAUGAAGCCAACACAGAGGACAGCAGAGCCAAGAAUGGGGAGAGAGACUUGGCACUAUUUGAGCACCUGGAUUCAGCCAUACCUGAAGCCAACAUGUGACAAUCUCUUUUAAGAACCAAAGGAACCAAAGGAGGGAUUUAUGCUUUGUAGUGCCUCAAACCAUACUCUGAAAAUCCUUAACCUAAACAUCCCAAU
rnacentral:lncRNA from 1 species